rnacentral:tRNA from 1 species
GUUUCCGUAGUGUAGCGGUUAUCACGUUCGCCUCACACGCGGGGGCCAGCCGUGUAUAGGUGUAACGCCGUCCCACGGAAACG